UCGGGAAUAUUGCGCAAUGGAGGAAACUCUGACGCAGUGACGCCGCGUGCAGGAAGAAGGUUUUCGGAUUGUAAACUGCUUUAGACAGGGAAGAAACAAGACAGUACCUGUAGAAUAAGCUCCGGCUAACUACGUGCCAGCAGCCGCGGUAAUACGUAGGGAGCAAGCGUUAUCCGGAUUUAUUGGGUGUAAAGGGUGCGUAGACGGGAAUGCAAGUUGGUUGUGAAAUCCCUCGGCUCAACCGAGGAGUUGCAACCAAAACUAUAUUUCUUGAGUGCUGGAGAGGAAAGUGGAAUUCCUAGUGUAGCGGUGAAAUGCGUAGAUAUUAGGAGGAACACCAGUGGCGAAGGCGACUUUCUGGACAGUAACUGACGUUGAGGCACGAAAGUGUGGGGAGCAAGCAGGAUUAGAUACCC
rnacentral:rRNA from 1 species